UGCAGUUUAUUUACUAAACAUAUUUCAGACAUUUUGAAUAUAUUUUCUUUUUAAAACUCAGCAACAGAUUCUUAUUUUUGAAAUACUUCUGAUUUGCUGGACCUGUGGUAAAUGUGUGGUAGGUUGUUGUUUCUAGGAAGUCAGACGGGCAGCUUGUUCUGCCCAGAACCGCUUUGUACUGGACCGGUUCUGUUGACUGCAAUUCAACUCAAAGUUCUGGGAAUCUGCACUUUGCUCCUGCUGUUUGUUGAUGGACGACUACGAUCCAUCAACCUGGACAGAACAAGUUUAUGGGUGUAGAAAACAGUUUGAGCUCCAGAGGAACUGGGUUUUCUUUUCUGUUUAGGAGUUUUUGGUACAAACAAAACCCGAAGCUAACCCUUAACCCUUAACCCUUAACCCCUAACCCUCCUGCUGACGACUCAGCAGAAACUCUCAGGUUUUCUGGAACUUUUUCAGCCUCUCAAGUUGCUGUGGAAACAUUUUUGCCAGCUCUUUUUUGAGUUUACUGAGGUCAACAGAUAUUUGUUUCUGCAUUUUCCUUUGUUGCACCCCAACAUUUCAAACAGGCUGAGGUGGGCUGGACUUUGACUGGGACGUUGCAGCACUGAUUCUUUUCUGUUCCAGACAUUCUGUUGAAAACCUGCUGCCAUAUUUGGGAUCAUUGCUCUUUGACUGACCAUCAUGCUCACACAUUAAACUGCUUUGAUGAAAAUCCUCAACUUUACUCUGUGAGCGUCCAGAACCUGCAGGACUCUUCGUUUCCCCAACAGGAAUGGAUCAGGUUGCUUGGUAGCUAACGCUAACAGGCUCAGUGCUCCAUCAAACAUUCAUCCAUCCUGUGCAUUAAUGACACGUCAUUUUUAUUUUAUACAAGUUUGGAUACAGAAGUCUGAACAGAAUGUGUUCAUUUCUGACUGAAAUCCAUUUUAUGUCUCAACUCAACGUGUUGCCUGAAGAUUCAACAAACGUUUUCCUAACAUGAUUAUUUUCUGCCUACAGUUUUUGAAACCUCUGUAAGAACCAAGUUCUGUCCAUCCUGUGACCGUCCAGCUGAGGUUCUGCUGUCAGGAUUUACCCGUCAGCCGGUCCAGUAGACAGGAAGUGUCAGAGAAAUGACUGGACCUGCAGCCUGACCCGGUCCAGGAAGUUCUGAUCCUGUUCCUGGGAGGAAACCCUUCCAACCCUCCACAUCCUGAUCAAGAGGAGAAUCCACGGAGAACUCUUCUGCUUCCUGGGCAUGCUGGUUCCACCUUGCGGUGUUAACGGACAGCGUGUUUUUGAAACCAGGGGCGCGGUACGUAUCAGCCUUCCCAGGUUCCGCCUAUAGGAACAGCACGUGGGAAAGGUGACUCUGGGACUCGGGAGUCUUAAAUGCAGUCCAGUCUUCUAGAGGAAUAGCCUCACACACACAUAUGCUACACCACACGUUGAUUGGACUGGAAAAACCUUUUCAACCAAUGAACAUCCUCUGGUCUGCUUGGAGACUAGUGUGAUUGAACUGGACCAAACGGCCGUCCUUAGCUCUAACUUGUGCUUUAUUUCAACAAGCCAUCAGGAUUCCUCCUAAAACUACUUCAUAGAAAUUAGUGCAAAUAAAUUUUGAACAGACCUACGACUUAAAAUUAUAGGAAACAACUUUAUUUUCCCAAAUGAUCAGACCUUGUGACCUAAAAGGUUGGCCUAGUUAAAGUAACAGUAGCUGGACAUAAACUGCUGCCGUGAAAUAAACUGUAGUUGAUCUUUAGAUUUUCCUCCUCUUGUGGUCGCUGAUAGUAACUACAAUAAAGCAGAAUAAAUGAGUUAUUUUCACUUUUAUCUUCAAACUAAAACCUGCUUUUCGCUCUAACAUAAAGUAACAUUUUUACAAACCAGAGCUGGAGGAAACUUUCUUAUUUUAAACAGUUUGCUUUCUCCCUAAACUAAACUAAAAUAAUGAUUCCAACUUUGUUUUUGAAACCAAUUAGCUUGAGCUGCAAACGGAGUACGAUUCUUUGCCCCCUGCUGGCCAGUUGUGGUAACUGCAAUCAACAUAAAGCUGACAAAAUUCGAUGAAACUCAAUGAAAAAUAAAACAUCUUAACAUAAAGUCACAAGUUUAAGCCAACAGAAUUCUAAGAAAUUAGCAGAAAAUUUUAAGCUCUGAUUUUACAAAGUUAGUUUCUUACAAUCUUUAAGUGGAUUUACAGGUUUUAGCUGCUGUGCUACAAUUACAGCCAUUCAUAAAAUCUCCAUAAACUGGAUUAAAGCAGCAACAUUUAAGAGACAUGAAGACUCGACAGUAAACUGUAGUUAGCUGGAACUAAAUGUACUAAUAAACUAAACAUGACCAGUUUGGUAGAAAGAGGAACUUUUCAGCACAAAAUGAAGUUUUAUAUUAAUUCUAUUUCUGCAUCAACACUUUAUGGACUUCAUGGUUACUAUAAACCCUGAUACGGUUCAAAGACUGUAAGAUUUCUUAACUUACUUUUGCAACAAGUAGAAAGUCUUUUAUUCCACCAGCAGUGAAGCUAAGUGAAGAGAUUAAUCUCCUGUUUGAACUUUAGACUGAUUGUGGCAAUAAAUGAGUUGCUGGACAUUAAAGUUGAUAUUCUAAUAUUCAUCCUUUGAAUUAUGACAAUGGAGUCAUAUUGGUGCCAACCAUUUCCAGAGAUAUGAAAUGUGCAGAAAAGAGGCAAAUGUGUGAAAUAAAUAUCUUUUAUUGUUUUCAUGGUCAUCAUAAUUCUGGAAGCAGAAACCAUCCAAUGGUUCUGCUGCGUCUCUCGGACCCAACCAUGCAGGAAAUCUCCCAUAAAAAACAAACUAAAUAAAAAAUAUAUAUUAAAAAUUAUGUGUACCACUGAUAUACAGAUCUGAUAUAAACAGGCGAAUUGGUCACAAACCAAUCAGAAUUAGAAACAUGGCUUCCUUUACAAGACACAACCAACAGGAAACAAGAGGGACAUUUUCAUUUUACACAUCUGUACAUUUCAUCAUUAUUUUAAUGUUUGUACCUCUGCAGGUCAGAACACACACACACACACACCCCAGGUGCGACAGCAGUAGCUAAAGAGAGAACUGUGGGUGUAUCUGCAGCUGACAAAUACUGAAGAGUUGAACCACUGCUGCGCAACGCCCCCUGGAGGUGAAAAUGACACAUUACAUUCAGCAGAGGUGAACUGGACCUUCAUCACACACACACAAAAAAACAGUGUUUAAAAUGUGCAAAGAAAAGAUUUAUGAAGCUGCUUCAGAGACGGCUGCUGAGGAAAUGGGAGAAAACAUCAGUGGAUCCCACAGCGCCUCCUGGUGGUGGAGGCUCUGCCUGCAGGACUUCCUGUUGGGACCAGAACCCAACCGAUCACAGCAGCAGCAUGGACUGAUCCACUUCCUGCUGCUGCCACCUAGUGGCCCCAGGUGAAAGGCGGAGCUUUGGUUCUGAACCCAACCUGCACCUUUAGGAAGCUCCGCCCCCUUGGGAAGCCCCGCCCCCAGCUCAGUGUCUGAUUGGCUGCUCAGAAACCUUCAGAGCAUGUGGUCAAUUUAAAAGCAUCCCAACUCUGAUUCUUUUAAUUUGAUGGGAACAGGAAGCUGACUCUUCAAGUGGGGGUUAGUGGCUGCAGAA